rnacentral:rRNA from 1 species
GACGAACGCUGGCGGCGUGCCUAAUACAUGCAAGUAGAACGCUGAAGGAGGAGCUUGCUCUUCUGGAUGAGUUGCGAACGGGUGAGUAACGCGUAGGUAACCUGCCUGGUAGCGGGGGAUAACUAUUGGAAACGAUAGCUAAUACCGCUUAACAGUAGAUGUUGCAUGACAUUUGCUUAAAAGGUGCAAUUGCAUCACUACCAGAUGGACCUGCGUUGUAUUAGCUAGUUGGUGGGGUAACGGCUCACCAAGGCGACGAUACAUAGCCGACCUGAGAGGGGGAUCGGCCACACUGGGACUGAGACACGGCCCAGACUCCUACGGGAGGCAGCAGUAGGGAAUCUUCGGCAAUGGACGGAAGUCUGACCGAGCAACGCCGCGUGAGUGAAGAAGGUUUUCGGAUCGUAAAGCUCUGUUGUAAGAGAAGAACGAGUGUGAGAGUGGAAAGUUCACACUGUGACGGUAUCUUACCAGAAAGGGACGGCUAACUACGUG